GCAGUCGAGGGGUAUGUUCUUCGGAGCUAGAGACCGGCGCACGGGUGCGUAACGCGUAUGCAAUCUACCUUUUACAGAGGGAUAGCCCAGAGAAAUUUGGAUUAAUACCUCAUAGUAUAAUGACUCGGCAUCGAGAUAUUAUUAAAGUCACAACGGUAAAAGAUGAGCAUGCGUCCCAUUAGCUAGUUGGUAAGGUAACGGCUUACCAAGGCUACGAUGGGUAGGGGUCCUGAGAGGGGGAUCCCCCACACUGGUACUGAGACACGGACCAGACUCCUACGGGAGGCAGCAGUGAGGAAUAUUGGACAAUGGGCGCAAGCCUGAUCCAGCCAUGCCGCGUGCAGGAUGACGGUCCUAUGGAUUGUAAACUGCUUUUAUACGAGAAGAAACACUCCGACGUGUCGGAGCUUGACGGUAUCGUAAGAAUAAGGAUCGGCUAACUCCGUGCCAGCAGCCGCGGUAAUACGGAGGAUCCAAGCGUUAUCCGGAAUCAUUGGGUUUAAAGGGUCCGUAGGCGGUUUAAUAAGUCAGUGGUGAAAGCCCAUCGCUCAACGGUGGAACGGCCAUUGAUACUGUUAAACUUGAAUUAUUAGGAAGUAACUAGAAUAUGUAGUGUAGCGGUGAAAUGCUUAGAGAUUACAUGGAAUACCAAUUGCGAAGGCAGGUUACUACUAAUGGGUUGACGCUGAUGGACGAAAGCGUGGGUAGCGAACAGGAUUAGAUACCCUGGUAGUCCACGCCGUANACGAUGGAUACUAGCUGUUGGAAGCAAUUUCAGUGGCUAAGCGAAAGUGAUAAGUAUCCCACCUGGGGAGUACGUUCGCAAGAAUGAAACUCAAAGGAAUUGACGGGGGCCCGCACAAGCGGUGGAGCAUGU
rnacentral:rRNA from 1 species